AGCUGCGUGAUGAGCACAUAGCGAACUAUUCUUUCGCCUUUUACUAAAGAAUACCGUGGGCUCGCCACACCAAGCAGCAUACGCUAAUUUUUAAGGGUUCCUUCUCUUUGUGAGAAGGU
rnacentral:snRNA from 2 species